UACGUAGGCAGCAAGCGUUGUUCGGAGUUACUGGGCGUAAAGGGUGUGUAGGCGGUUCUUUAAGUUUGGUGUGAAAUCUCCCGGCUCAACUGGGAGGGUGCGCCGAAUACUGAGGGACUAGAGUACGGGAGAGGAAAGUGGAAUUCUUGGUGUAGCAGUGAAAUGCGUAGAUAUCAAGAGGAACACCAGUGGCGAAGGCGAGUCCCUGGACAACACCUGACACUGAGGCACGAAAGCUAGGGGAGCAAACAGG
rnacentral:rRNA from 1 species